GGGGGAUGCGGGGCUGGGCGGGCGCUGCCCGGCGGAGCCCCGCGGGGAGCCCGGCCGGGGCGGGAGGAGGUUCCCCGGGCGCUGCCGAAAGCCCCGGCCGCCUCGCCAGGAAGUGCAGAACGGGCACCCGCCGCCGUUCCCCCGCGGCGAGCCCCGCAGCCCUCCGCGGGUGCGGGGAGCGCCGCAGCCCCGCCGCCCACCCCCCCGGCUGCCGCUCGCCCCGGGCCGCCCCGCCGGCCCCUUGUGGGGGGGCGGGGGGGUGUGACAGGAGCUGGGGCUGCGCCCGCAUCCCCCGGGGUGCUGGAGCACGGGACUGGGCGAAAAGGCUUGGUUUCACCUUGCCAAAAACGCCCAAAGGCGGCGCGGUUCCUUUCCCUCCCGACCUCACAGCCUGAUUCCGCACCUCCCUCCCGCCCGGAUUUCUCCCGGUCGUGCCCCGAAGGAGGGUCGUUCCCCCCCCCCCCCCCGGAGGCAGCCCCUUCCCAGCCCUCCGGGCCAGCAGCGACCUUGCGCAACCCGGCUUUGCCGAGCCCGGCCCGGCCGCCGCGGCGGCCCCGGGAUGGCGGCAGGCCCGGGGCGCGGCCCGGCCCCCCGGCCACAACCGCUCCCGCGCAGCAGAAACCCCAGGGCUGCCCUCCCCUUUGCUGCCGGGGAACUCAUUCCAAGCCCAGGGGGCCCCAGUCCGCUCGCCAACAUAGGUUUUUCCGCUCCCUCCCUCCAAAAAGCCUUCAAAAAAGCGAAGGGAGAGUCAGGCGAGCAAAAAGAGGCAGUUGGCACCCGCGGGCGAAGGAUUUGGGCGUUACAGAGCAGCAGAAGAUGAAAAGGUUUCAGAAUCCACUUCACCUGUGGCCGCGUUUGGGAGCGCACCGCGGCGCAGCUACUGAGCGAAGCCGUGCCAAUGCCACCCCUGUAUUCGGGGCUGAGAUUUUUGGACAGCAAAGAGAGAGAGAUGUCUUUGCCUUAAAAGAGGACGUGGUUUCCAUACGUAUUGAAACAAACAUACACUCUGGAUCAAAAUGGGAGCUUCUGUUUUCGAAGUGACCCUUUCUUCCCUUGACACGCCCUGCACCAUUUUACACCGCCUGAAUUUGACAACUAGACCGAGCCCGCUACAGCCACAUCAUCUAAACACAAAGUUUCACUGGGAUCAAAGUGGUGCGCGUUCCCACAGGACAUCAUGGAAGAAAACACCCAGAAAUGAGACUGCGGGGGUUAACAACCUUGUCACCAGAUCACAAAGGGUUAUUAAUGGCACAUGGGCAGAGGAAGCAGAAUUCCCCCAGACAGUAAAUGGUGCCUGGGGCAGCCUGGGAGCCCCCCCAAAAGAGAAGAGUGGGUCUGGAACACCCCCUUUCCCCCAACGUUUAUAUAAACUCUUCUGCCAAUGAAGUGUUGCUGCCAAGGAAAAUGGGACCGACCAUCAACCCCUUGAAUCAACAAGUGAGAAAAUUACUAAUAAACAUGUCUGUCAAAAAACCGGCACGACAUUUUUCGUUGCUAGUAUGGUCUUGAAAGUUAAAAAAUAAGGGGAAAAAAAAAAAGGUAGAAUUUCUUUAGAAGGAUUUUAGCACUAUUUUAGCACUAGGCAUUGUAAGGAAGCAGAUCUCCUGACUGUUCUUUAUUAAAUUAACAGACAUGUGAGGUAGAAUAAAAUCUACCAUAUAUUCCUUAUUUAUGCUGAAUUGUUUCCUACAAUAUUAGAAUUUAUUUUCCACAUUUAGUCUUUUAAAUCUAAAUUCAUUCAUUUUCUUCUUGUAGAUUAUUUAUAUGAAUAAUAGUGGAUAGUGUAAAAUAAGCUUCAGGAAGUAACAUAAAUGAAGUAUGACCGAACUCGUAAACAUAAAAAACCCCACACAAAUGAGCCUCCUCCUCUCCCCCCCCCGCCCAUGAUAUUGCCUUAAGCAUAUUUAUAACUUAAAUAGUACCACAAUGUGGGGUUAUUUUUCUCCUUUAUUCCUCUAAGAUCCCAUAUAUGACCUUGGAUCCUCCAGUCAUAUUUUUAAACUUUUCAUUGCAGCUCUGAGGAUUAGAGACACAUUUAAAAGAAAAACAAAGCCAAAAUCCUCCUACAGCUGCUAGACUUCAGGAGUUUGACUUCCCAUAAAAUCAAGCGUUAAUAUGACCCUGCUAUAAAAGAAAGGAUUCACUAACUAUUUCAGACAGUAAGGCAUCAUGGUUUUAUCCUUCAUUUUUUUUAUCUUCUGGGAACAAAUGCAGCCAUCAUAUGAACAAGCAACAUCACCAAUACUUCCAAAGAGAAUCAAAAUUAUUUUUUCCACAUUAAAGCCUGUCAAUUUGACUACUUAUACAACCGUGUUUCCAGAGGCACGUAAGCAUCUAAAUUACUAAUUUCACAGACAAAUGGGUACCAAAAUACUUUGGAGAAUAUCACCCUAAGUACUUAGAGGUUUCAUGCACCCUCAGGGAAGGCAGCAGAAGAGGAUCUCAAACACACCAGCCUCAUUUUGCUUCUCCUUUAUACCACCCAAGUGCUCCCCAUUACCAUGCCACACCUGUAACUCAGCAGAAGCAGCACGUGCAUUUUGGACUACACCCCGUCACAGGACUUGCCCCAGUUGUUCCUUAAAUACAGGCUGAGUCAAUUUUUCCAUGAUAAAUUCCCAGAGUACAUUCCUAACUUAAUAAAAUAGCCAUAAAACUUU